AGUGAACGCUGGCGGUAUGCCUAACACAUGCAAGUCGAGCGGCAGCACAGUAAGCUCUUGCUCUUACGGUUGGCGGGUGACGGACGGGUGAGGAGUACAUCGGAAGCUACUUUUUCGUGGGGGAUAACUUGGGGAAACUGACGCUACUACCUCAUACGAUCUACGGCAGAAUUCAGGUUUUCUUCGGACCUUUCGCUAUUUAAUAAGUCGAUGUCGGAUUAGCUAGUUGGUGGGGUAAAGGCCCACCAAGCCGACGAUCCGUAGCUGGUCUGAGAGGAUGGUCAGCAACACUGGAACUGAGAACCGGUCCAGACUCUUACGGGAGGCGGAAGAGGGGAAUAUUGGACAAUGGGCGAAGGCCUGAUCCAGCAAUACCGCGUGGGUGAGGAAGGUCUUCGGGUUGUAAAGCCCUUUUGUUGGGAAAGAAAAGCAGCAGGUUAAAACGCUGAUGUUGUGACGGUAACCAAAGAAUAAGCAACGGCUAACUUCGUG
rnacentral:rRNA from 1 species